UACGUAGGGUGCGAGCGUUAAUCGGAAUUACUGGGCGUAAAGCGUGCGCAGGCGGUUUGGUAAGACAGAUGUGAAAUCCCCGGGCUUAACCUGGGAACUGCAUUUGUGACUGCCAGACUAGAGUGUAGCAGAGGGGGGUAGAAUUCCACGUGUAGCAGUGAAAUGCGUAGAGAUGUGGAGGAAUACCGAUGGCGAAGGCAGCCCCCUGGGCUAACACUGACGCUCAUGCACGAAAGCGUGGGGGAGCAAACAGGAUUAGAUACCCUGGUAGUCCACGCCCUAAACGAUGUCAACUAGGUGUUGGGGAAGGAGACUUCUUUAGUACCGCAGCUAACGCGUGAAGUUGACCGCCUGGGGAUACGGUCGCAAGAUUAAGACUCA
rnacentral:rRNA from 1 species